ensembl:lncRNA
CCGCUGUGUACUGUGCUCCAAUACUGGCCGGAAGAGGCACGUGGACUUCACACUUCCAUGGCCUAUCCCUGAUGUUUUACUGCUUCCCCACCCUUGAGGAGCAACGAUACGGGCUGUUCUCCGUCACUCAUGGUCCAGCAAGAGGAACCCCUGACAUCUCCACCCUGGCCCCUCCGCACGGUGGAGUGGCUCCCUGGAACCACUGAUGAUGCAUCGCAAAUUUUGUGAUGACCUUCUUAUGCUGGUGGAUCACACGGAAAAUGAGCCUUCAAACAGAUGCAGAAUUGCAGGCUUGCGGCGAUGGGACAGCUCCAGUGGAAAAGAGAAACGAGUCGCUGAAGGUCCCAAGUUACAUCCACAAAAAGAGCAUUUAGGUGGGCCUUGCCAGUCCAUCGGAAGCCGAAACAAGAAAAGUCAGACUUCCGCUGAGCAAAUGGGAAUGUUCCAGCAGUCUUCCUCCGUACUGUGGCUGUGUCUUUUCCCAGAGUCCUGCCCGUCAGCUUCCCCACUGGACUUCAAACUUGACAAGACUCUGCAAUCAUGUGAGCCAACUUCAUAGAUUGGAUCUCUCCCCCUUCUCUCAGUAGAAUGAACAUACAUCAUUGUAUAUAACGACCUAUAUACAUAUAACACAUUUUUUCCUAAUAAAAAAUAAUAGCAACAAG